rnacentral:lncRNA from 1 species
CCCAGGACCAAAACCAGGCUGGUGCCCGAGGGCAGGAACGUGACCUUCCGCUGCGGCCAGAAGAUCCUCCACAAGAAAGGGAAAGUGUACUGGUACAAGGACCAGGAGCCCCUGGAGUUCUCCUACCCCGGCUACCUGGCCCUGGGCGAGGCGCACCUGAGCAUCAUCGCCAACGCCGUCAAUGAGGGCACCUACACCUGCGUGGUGCGCCGCCAGCAGCGCGUGCUGACCACCUACUCCUGGCGAGUCCGUGUGCGGGGCUGAGCCCGGCUGAUAAAGCACUUUCUCUCUGAUGGCUCCUCGCUCAUUCUUGGGAGGGCAGCGGGCAGCCAGUCUGGGCAGGUGGACACCCCAGCCCCUGGUCCACCGAGAGCUGGGCGUCCUCGGGGCUGGGCACCCCUGCUUCCCCGCACAGCGGACAACAGAGCCCGGUGGUCUGCGACUCCCCUCCCACACAUGGUCCCGGGUCACUCAAAGGACGACACGGGGAGCUUUCCUCGAAGAAUAUUUUAAUACAUUUUAAAACUCAA